GACGAACGCUGGCGGCGUGCUUAACACAUGCAAGUCGAACGGAAAGGCCCUGCUUUUGUGGGGUGCUCGAGUGGCGAACGGGUGAGUAACACGUGAGUAACCUGCCCUUGACUUUGGGAUAACUUCAGGAAACUGGGGCUAAUACCGGAUAGGUGCUCCUGCUGCAUGGUGGGGGUUGGAAAGUUUCGGCGGUUGGGGAUGGACUCGCGGCUUAUCAGCUUGUUGGUGGGGUAGUGGCUUACCAAGGCUUUGACGGGUAGCCGGCCUGAGAGGGUGACCGGGCACAUUGGGACUGAGAGACGGCCCAGACGCCUACGGGAGGCAGCAGUGGGGAGUAUUGCACAAUAGGCGGAAGCCUGAUGCAGCAACGCCGCGUGCGGGAUAACGGCCUUCGGGGUGUAAACCGCUUUCGCCUGUGACGAGGCGUGAGUGACGGUAAUGGGUAAAGAAGCACCGGCUAACUACGUG
rnacentral:rRNA from 1 species